rnacentral:rRNA from 1 species
UGCGUAGGCGGAUUGAUAAGUCAGUGGUGAAAACCUUCAGCUUAACUGGAGACUUGCCAUUGAUACUGUUAGUCUUGAGUACGGUCAAGGUAGGCGGAAUGUGUAAUGUAGCGGUGAAAUACUUAGAUAUUACACAGAACACCGAUUGCGAAGGCAGCUUACUGGGCCAUUACUGACGCUGAGGCACGAAAGCGUGGGGAGCGAACAGGAUUAGAUACCCUGGUAGUCC